rnacentral:rRNA from 1 species
ACGCUCGACACCUACGGGGGCAGCAGUUAGGAAUAUUCGUCAAUGGGGGAAACCCUGAACGAGCAAUGCCGCGUGAGUGAUGAAGGCCCUAUGGGUUGUAAAACUCUGUUGUUGAGAAAGAAUUGUAAGAUUAGGAAAUGAGUCUUACUUGACGGUACUCUUCAAGAAAGCCACGGCUAACUACGUGCCAGCAGCCGCGGUAAUCUGAGCGGGCUGGCAAGGC